rnacentral:rRNA from 1 species
CGGGGGAGCACCACAAGGGGUGAAGCUUGCGGUUUAAUUGGAGUCAACACCGGGAACCUUACCAGGGGCGACAGUUGGAUGAAGGUCAGAUUAAAGGUCUUACCGGACUAGCUGAGAGGAGGUGCAUGGCCGUCGCCAGUUCGUGCCGUGAGGUGUUCUCUUAAGUGAGAAAACGAACGAGACCCGCGCUCUUAGUUGCCAUCCUGUUCCUACGGGAACAGAGGCACACUAGGGGGACUGCCUCCGCUAAGGGGGAGGAAGGAGCGGGCCACGGCAGGUCAGUAUGCCCCGGAUCCCCUGGGCCACACGCGAGCUGCAAUGGCUGGGACAAUGGGCUCCGACCCCGAAAGGGGAAGGCAAUCCCCAAACCCAGCCUCAGUUGGGAUCGAGGGCUGCAACCCGCCCUCGUGAACAUGGAAUCCCUAGUAACCGCGUGUCAUCAUCGCGCGGUGAAUACGUCCCUGCUCCUUGCACACACCGCCCGUCGCUCCACCCGAAUUUGGUUUUGGCGAGAUGUAGCCUUGUUGGUUACCUCGAGCCUAAGCUAGGUAAGGGGGGAGAAGUCGUAACAAGGUGGCCGUAGGGGAACCUGCGGCCGGAUCACCUCCUUAGAAA